rnacentral:rRNA from 1 species
CCCGCACAAGCGGAGGAACAUGUGGUUUAAUUCGAUGAUACGCGAGGAACCUUUACCUGGGCUUAAAUGUAGAGUGCUAUUUUUUAGAGAUAGAAAUUCCCUUCGGGGCUUUCUGCAAGGUGCUGCAUGGUUGUCGUCAGCUCGUGCCGUGAGGUGUCGGGUUAAGUCCCAUAACGAGCGCAACCCUUAUCGUUAGUUGCCAGCUGGUAAAGCAGGGGACUCUAGCGAAACUGCCACCGUAAGGUGAGAGGAAGGUGGGAUGACGUCAAAUCAGCACGGCCCUUAUGUCCAGGGCUACACACGUGUUACAAUGGCCGGCACAGAGGGCAGCUACCUGGUGACAGGAUGCUAAUCUCGAAAACCGGUCUCAGUUCGGAUCGAAGUCUGCAACUCGACUUCGUGAAGCUGGAUUCGCUAGUAAUCGCGCAUCAGCCAUGGCGCGGUGAAUACGUUCCCGGGCCUU